AAGGAGGAUGCCGAAAAUCCAUGAAAAAGAGUAGGCA
rnacentral:ncRNA from 1 species